GAUGAACGCUGGCGGCGUGCUUAACACAUGCAAGUCGAACGGAAAGGCCCAAGCUUGCUUGCGUACUCGAGUGGCGAACGGGUGAGUAACACGUGGGCGAUCUGCCCUGCACUUCGGGAUAAGCCUGGGAAACUGGUUCUAAUACCGGAUAGGACUGCUUCUUGGCUGUUGUCGUGUAAAGUUUUUUCGGUGUGGGAUGAGCUCGCGGCCUAUCAGCUUGUUGGGGGGGUAAUGGGCUACCACGGCGUCGACGGGUAGCCGGCCUGAGAGGGUGUACGGCCACAUUGGGACUGAGAGGCGGCCCAGACUCCUACGGGAGGCAGAAGUGGGGAAUAUUGAACAAUGGGCGCAAGCCUGAUGCAGCGACGCCGCGUGGGGGAUGACGGCCUUCGGGUUGUAAACUCCUUUCGCUAGGGACGAAGCGUUUUGUGACGGUACCUGGAGAAGAAGCACCGGCUAACUACGUG
rnacentral:rRNA from 1 species